rnacentral:lncRNA from 1 species
AAGUGUUUCUAUUGUCUACUAAAUAAUUCUGUAAAGUAAGUAAAGAUUUUGAUAAUCCUUUAAUUUUUUACAUAACUAAAUAAAAUAUAUGUCAAUCAUAUAAAUCUAUAACAUAAAAAGAGAAUAUUUGACCAAUAAAAAGUAACUUUAGAAAAUUCAAAAUUGACGCAUAAAUUUCAUAGGUGAAUAAAAUAAUUCCAAUCAGCACGUGAUGUUGGGGUUAAAAAGGGAAGACCGCAACUUCCCAACAUCACAUAUCACACUUAUUAAUAAAUGUAGAUAACUGUUUGGAAUAAAUAAUUGAAACAUCAUUGUAUUUUAUUCACCAGGUAAGUAAAUUGUUUAAGUGUUAACUAUUUUCUAUUGAAUUUUAAAAGUAAGAAUUUGUCUUUUGAUUUAAUAACUUUGAUAUUUAAAACUUAAAUAAAAUUUAUAAAAUAUUUUCAUUAACAGAAAUAAGUUAAAAACAAAGUUUACUAUUUAAAUCAAAUGAUCACAUAUCACACUUAAAUGUAGAUAACUGUUUGGAAUAAAUAAUUGAAACAUCAUUGUAU